UUGGCGGACGGGUGAGUAACGCGUGGGUAACCUGCCUCACACUGGGGAUAACACUUAGAAAUAGGUGCUAAUACCGCAUAAGCGCACGGGACUGCAUGGUCUUGUGUGAAAAACUCCGGUGGUGUGAGAUGGACCCGCGUCUGAUUAGCUGGUUGGCGGGGUAACGGCCCACCAAGGCGACGAUCAGUAGCCGGCCUGAGAGGGUGGACGGCCACAUUGGGACUGAGACACGGCCCAAACUCCUACGGGAGGCAGCAG
rnacentral:rRNA from 1 species